rnacentral:rRNA from 4 species
UGCGUCGUAGUCCGGAUUGGAGUCUGCAACUCGACUCCAUGAAGUCGGAAUCGCUAGUAAUCGUGGAUCAGAAUGCCACGGUGAAUACGUUCCCGGGCCUUGUACACACCGCCCGUCACACCAUGGGAGUGGGUUGCAAAAGAAGUAGGUAGCUUAACCUUCGGGAGGGCGCUUACCACUUUGUGAUUCAUGACUGGGGUGAAGUCGUAACAAGGUAACCGUAGGGGAACCUGCGGUUGGAUCACCUCCUUA